UAAUAUGUGAUGCUAUGGUCAGCUCUGCCGCCUAAUAUGUGAUGUUAUGGUCGGCUCUGCCGCCUAAUAUGUGAUGUCAUGGUCGGCUCUGCCACUUAUACUAAAGACUAUUGUUUUUAAAUAAUGUUGUGUGUUGAUUUUGUUAUGCAUUGAAGAAUUUCAAAUGUUAUAAGUUGCAUUGGAUGCAUGCAUAUCAUGGAUUACAUUAUGAAGAAGACGUUUCAGAAAAUGAAUUUAUGAAAAAUAGGUGGUUGUACUACCAGGUGGCAAAGUUCUAAGGAGGGCAAGCCCUCAAAGCUAAGUUGAAAGAAAUCUUUUGGGGACGGCAAUACGUAACGCCCAAAAGAUCAACUAAUGAGGCCCAAUGGCAUAUUGUUUAAAGGGUAAAAGUACCGGCCUUGUAGUGCAACAUACUUAGGGCCCAAAUAAAGUUGUUUUGUAUUUUUUAAGUUUAUUUGAAGAGCUUAAUAUGGUCAUCCAUAUGCAUCAUAAUUUAUACAUGCAUUAAAGUGUUAUCUUACUGGGCAUUAGCUCACUAAGUCCUUACAUUGCAGGUAACGAUGAGUAGGGCAAACUGGCGCCAAGUCCUAACUAAGACGAAAUGCAUAUGGGCAUAACCGACCUUGGGAUUUUAUGAUGGGCUCAACUUUGUAUUAAUAAAAAUAAGUAUCUUGGCUUUAUGUAAUAAUUAAGUUUUUAAAUAAACUAAGAAAUCUCUAUAUGACUCUUACUUUUCUGUAAUAAAGUUUUGUUGGAUUGUGCUAAACUUUUAGAAUUCGUAUUUAUAUUAAAAGUAACUGUGUUUUUAAGCAUUUUUUUAAGUAAAUAAUAUAGUGGAGUGUUACA
rnacentral:lncRNA from 1 species